UAGGGAAUCUUCCGCAAUGGGCGAAAGCCUGACGGAGCAACGCCGCGUGAGUGAUGAAGGUCUUCGGAUCGUAAAACUCUGUUAUUAGGGAAGAACAAAUGUGUAAGUAACUAUGCACGUCUUGACGGUACCUAAUCAGAAAGCCACGGCUAACUACGUGCCAGCAGCCGCGGUAAUACGUAGGUGGCAAGCGUUAUCCGGAAUAAUUGGGCGUAAAGCGCGCGUAGGCGGUUUUUUAAGUCUGAUGUGAAAGCCCACGGCUCAACCGUGGGGGGUCAUUGGAAACUGGAAAACUUGAGUGCAGAAGAGGAAAGUGGAAUUCCAUGUGUAGCGGUGAAAUGCGCAGAGAUAUGGAGGAACACCAGUGGCGAAGGCGACUUUCUGGUCUGUAACUGACGCUGAUGUGCGAAAGCGUGGGGAUCAAACAGG
rnacentral:rRNA from 1 species